GUCAUUGGUCCCUGCAUGUCGCUCUGGAUAAGAGCGUCUGCUAAAUGACAGAAG
rfam:Salmo salar isolate Sally breed double haploid chromosome ssa18, whole genome shotgun sequence.